GCCAUGCUGGGGCCACCCUAAGGGUUUUCCUACAUUAAAAAUUCAGGGAAAUUUCAGUCACCCUACCUGUCCCUUCCCUGAGCCUUCAGCAGUCUUUUCCAUCCAUGUGAAAAACUGGUAAAGUGGCUGCUUGCCAAGCUGGCAGCUCGGCUGGCUGCUCCUCCUCCUCUUGCUGCCCUCGCCCCACAGCCCUGCGGGAUGUCGCAGCCCUGCGGGACGUUGCAGCUCUGGGUUUCCCCCUUUCCCGACAGGAAGAAAUAAUUGAUAUCAGAUCCUGGUGGCUUAAGGAGAUACCAGUUUACUGCUGCCAGCACCACAGGUGUCAUAGCAGCAGCAAAGGCAGCAAACCUGGAGGUGGUGGAUCGAACUGAUCCUCCUUUGGGCCAACAAAUACACAGAGGUACUUCAUGCCUGGAAAGUAUGGGAAAGCCCAACAAAGGAUUCAGCUCCAGAUUCCCUUGUUCACUGAGGAGUAAACCACCUUAAAAGGAAUGGAAAAAGUGAAUAUAUGGGAUCCUGCUGGAUUCACCACACUGCAGUGGUGGUUCG